rnacentral:rRNA from 1 species
UGGGGAAUUUUGGACAAUGGGCGCAAGCCUGAUCCAGCCAUGCCGCGUGCGGGAAGAAGGCCUUCGGGUUGUAAACCGCUUUUGUCAGGGAAGAAACGGUCGUCGCUAAUACCGAUGGCUAAUGACGGUACCUGAAGAAUAAGCACCGGCUAACUACGUGCCAGCAGCCGCGGUAAUACGUAGGGUGCAAGCGUUAAUCGGAAUUACUGGGCGUAAAGCGUGCGCAGGCGGUCAUGCAAGACAGAUGUGA